rnacentral:rRNA from 1 species
AGCGCAGCAGUGAGACUGCGGGGGAUAAGCUCCGUAGUCGAGAGGGAAACAGCCCAGACCAUCAGCUAAGGCCCCUAAGCGGUGACUAAGUGGAAAAGGAUGUGGAGUCGCAUUGACAACCAGGAGGUUGGCUUGGAAGCAGCCACCCUUGAAAGAGUGCGUAAUAGCUCACUGGUCGAGCGAUCCGGCAUCGAAAAUUUGCGGGCAUUAAGUCUGGCACCGAAGCUUUGAAUUCUACUACUGUAGAGUGGUAGGGGAGCAUUCCAGCGGCGCUGAAGCUGUGGCGUAAGCCAUGGUGGAGCUUCUGGAAAAGAAAAUGUAGGCAUGAGUAACGAUAAGAUGCGUGAGAA